rnacentral:rRNA from 1 species
AUACGUAGGGGGCGAGCGUUAUCCGGAAUUAUUGGGCGUAAAGAGUGCGUAGGUGGUUUUGUAAGCGCGGGGUGAAAGGCAAUGGCUCAACCAUUGUAAGCCCUGCGAACUGUGAGACUUGAGUGCAGGAGAGGAAAGUGGAAUUCCUAGUGUAGCGGUGAAAUGCGUAGAUAUUAGGAGGAACACCAGUGGUGAAGGCGACUUCCUGGACCGUAACUGACCCUGAGGCACGAAAGCAUGGGGAGCAAGCAGGAUUGGAUUCCCUGGUAGUCCACGCCGUAAACGAUGUGCACUAGGUGUCGGGGUCGCAAGGCUUCGGUGCCGCAGUUAACGCAUUAAGUGCUCCGCCUGGGGAGUACGCACGCAAGUGUGAAACUCAAAGGAAUUGACGGGG